rnacentral:rRNA from 1 species
GAUGAACGCUGGCGGCGUGCCUAAUACAUGCAAGUCGAGCGAACGGACGAGAAGCUUGCUUCUCUGAUGUUAGCGGCGGACGGGUGAGUAACACGUGGAUAACCUACCUAUAAGACUGGGAUAACUUCGGGAAACCGGAGCUAAUACCGGAUAAUAUUGUGAACCGCAUGGUUCAAAAGUGAAAGACGGUCUUGCUGUCACUUAUAGAUGGAUCCGCGCUGCAUUAGCUAGUUGGUAAGGUAACGGCUUACCAAGGCAACGAUGCAUAGCCGACCUGAGAGGGUGAUCGGCCACACUGGAACUGAGACACGGUCCAGACUCCUACGGGAGGCAGCAGUAGGGAAUCUUCCGCAAUGGGCGAAAGCCUGACGGAGCAACGCCGCGUGAGUGAUGAAGGUCUUCGGAUCGUAAAACUCUGUUAUUAGGGAAGAACAUAUGUGUAAGUAACUGUGCACAUCUUGACGGUACCUAAUCAGAAAGCCACGGCUAACUACGUG